AUGCACGCUGGCGGCGUGCCUAAUCCAUGCAAGUCGCGCGAACAGACGAGGAGCUUGCUCCUCUGACGUUAGCGGCGGACGGGUGAGUAACACGUGGAUAACCUACCUAUAAGACUGGGAUAACUUCGGGAAACCGGAGCUAAUACCGGAUAAUAUAUUGAACCGCAUGGUUCAAUAGUGAAAGACGGUUUUGCUGUCACUUAUAGAUGGAUCCGCGCCGCAUUAGCUAGUUGGUAAGGUAACGGCUUACCAAGGCAACGAUGCGUAGCCGACCUGAGAGGGUGAUCGGCCACACUGGAACUGAGACACGGUCCAGACUCCUACGGGAGGCAGCAGUAGGGAAUCUUCCGCAAUGGGCGAAAGCCUGACGGAGCAACGCCGCGUGAGUGAUGAAGGUCUUCGGAUCGUAAAACUCUGUUAUUAGGGAAGAACAAAUGUGUAAGUAACUAUGCACGUCUUGACGGUACCUAAUCAGAAAGCCACCGCUAACUACGUG
rnacentral:rRNA from 1 species